CUCUUCUCUCUUGCAGUUGCUAAAGUCACUAUUAUACGAGUUUCUUUCCAAAUCAAGCGUUGGAUUAUCUUUGCCUAGGUUUUGCUCAGAGAGGACACUAAGAGUUCGAUGGCAGCUCUGUCUGAGAAUGUGUUGACAGUCCACAUGUUACUGAGUGUCCUAUUUCUUCCAGUUGCUGUGGGUGGUUGCCCCAAUCCAGUCCUCAUUGUUCAAACACCUGGGCAGAUUGAAGCUCUGAGUGGGUCUUGCUUACUAAUCCCCUGUAGCUAUAAUUCAUCGGAUGAAGGAUAUAACAAGACCAGAGCUAUUUAUGGAAUUUGGCUGAAAGCUACAACAAAUGUCAAUGCUGUUAUUUUUAACAGCAGUUGGUCAGAGAAAACCUCUUCACUGAAGAUGAUUGGAAACCUACACGAGAAAAACUGCACCACUCUGUUCUCUGAUUUAAAUACAAGCCAUAAAGACAAAU